GCCACAACGGCUGCUGUUGUCCCUGUAAACCGCAGGAACCGGCGUUCCCACAAUCGCUUCCAUCACCAAACAUAAUAACAACAUCCUACCACCACCGCAGUUUCAUCACUGCCACAACCCUCGCUAGUACCACUCUCGUCGCCAAUGACUUCGUCGUCGCCAGAGAAUACAAGCAGUGUGUGCGUUACACUUACCACUCCAACACUUACCAUCACAGCGGAAGAAGGAAAGUAUUUUUCGCGCAGGUGAGGGUGAAAACACCUCGAUUGACUCUUGGGAUACCGUUCAAAAGGU
rnacentral:lncRNA from 1 species